GAGCAGCUGCGAAUGGGAGAACAGCCCUCCACGUACGGGCUCUGGCCACACCGGUUUACAGCCGCGUUCUGGCUACAGGAAGGAAGACCGUCAGGAGUCAGGAAGGACAAUCGCUUCCUCUCACCUAGCAGGGAACUCACGGACGAAGGCGUCGUGGCUGUGAUCCCACACUUCACGGGUGAUACGAUGACCGGUGAUAUCGUCUCUCUGCUCCCACCGUGGGCCUCUCUCUCCGGGCUGGGAGGGCUGGAUGAAUCUGAGCCACUGGCAUGGCCGUCGAGGAAAAGCUUCCGCCUCAGUGAAGAGCAGCUGAGGCUCUCCUGAACUUGCUCCGAGACCUCAUCCAUCCUAUAGUAAUCACCUGGAAGAGGAUUUCAUGGAUUGUACUGAUGCCACAUGAUUGGCUGAUGAGAGAACAGUAUAAACGUGCAGGUGUACAGGUGUUCCUAUUAAAGUUGAUGGUGAAUCUAUAUAUUGCCUUCUUAUAUCAGAAGUACAAAACAGCUGGACAGGCCACACCCACAAACACCAACCAGAGCGACAUCCGUGAACUGCUAUAAAGUUGAAAGUGAUGGUUUGUUACAUCAACAUGUAAGGAAUGUUAACAAAUAAAUAAAAAAAUUUUUUACCCAA